AUAUCGGGACCAUUGAGCACAGAGAAAAUAAGACAAAUGUAUGAAAUCGAAAAAAAACUUUGGUCAUGGAUUGAUUGGUAUAGCUAUGGUAACCAUGGCAACUAUACGACGUGUACCAGUAUAUAAAGUCAGGAGAACUGGGUGCCCAGAUAGCGUAUAAAUCGUAUAUGAGCCAUCUUGUUUGAGAUAAGGGCGAAAGUAUGUAACACUUGUGUCUUUAUAGUAGGGUGGGGAACAUAAGACAUGGGAUUUUAAAAUUUCCAAAUUAAAGAAAGCUUUCGAAGAAUAGACUCCUGUUAAAAUGAUGCGUUUAAUGGACGAUGCCCUCAGAGGUGCUAUAUGUCAAACACUGGACGCUAAUCGUGAUUUGAAUGAAUUCCUGCGUACAGAACUUAAUUUGCAAGAAAAUCAGAGAAUGCAGUGGAAUAAGGGUCUAGAUAGAGAAGUAAUGGGGACCGAGGAUGAAGAACAUAUUAAACAUCUGUUUGCAACUCUAACCCAUCCUAUACGGAUUGAAGUUUGGUACGAAAUUGUAUAGCUGUCAUAAUGGCGACACACACAUAUAUAUACAUGUUUUGCUAAGCGUGUUCCCUGCGAUUAAUUAAAAACUAUAUAAUCAAAGUUAAUUUUAAAAUUCACCAUCUUAUCACGCUCUUUAUGUACGCUUAGAAAUUCAUAGUUUAUACUAUUUAGAUUCUAGAACAUAUUCUUCACAAUUGUAUUUCGAAGUACAUUUAUCGCGUAGAAACUCCUAACUCGUAAAACUUGUAGCAAUAAAAGUUGUCUUUAUGGUCAAA